UACGGAGGGGGCUAGCGUUGUUCGGAAUUACUGGGCGUAAAGCGUGCGUAGGUGGUUUGUUAAGUCUGUUGUGAAAGCCCCGGGCUCAACCUGGGAAUGGCAAUGGAUACUGGCAGGCUAGAGUGCGGUAGAGGGUAGUGGAAUUCCCGGUGUAGCGGUGAAAUGCGUAGAGAUCGGGAGGAACACCAGUGGCGAAGGCGGCUACCUGGACCAGCACUGACACUGAGACACGAAAGCGUGGGGAGCAAACAGG
rnacentral:rRNA from 1 species